GAACCUGCGGAAGGAUCAUUACCGAGUUUUCGAGCUCCGGCUCGACUCUCCCACCCUUUGUGAACGUACCUCUGUUGCUUUGGCGGCUCCGGCCGCCAAAGGACCUUCAAACUCCAGUCAGUAAACGCAGACGUCUGAUAAACAAGUUAAUAAACUAAAACUUUCAACAACGGAUCUCUUGGUUCUGGCAUCGAUGAAGAACGCAGCGAAAUGCGAUAAGUAAUGUGAAUUGCAGAAUUCAGUGAAUCAUCGAAUCUUUGAACGCACAUUGCGCCCCUUGGUAUUCCGGGGGGCAUGCCUGUUCGAGCGUCAUUACAACCCUCAAGCUCUGCUUGGAAUUGGGCACCGUCCUCACUGCGGACGCGCCUCAAAGACCUCGGCGGUGGCUGUUCAGCCCUCAAGCGUAGUAGAAUACACCUCGCUUUGGAGCGGUUGGCGUCGCCCGCCGGACGAACCUUCUGAACUUUUCUCAAGGUUGACCUCGGAUCAGGUAGGGAUACCCGCUGAACUUAAGCAUAUCAAUAA
rnacentral:rRNA from 1 species